GCGGCAGGCCGCUUUAUCGCUCUGACGUUUACUGUCAGGGAGGAAAGUCCGGGCAACGCAGGGCACCGUGCUUCUUAGCGGGAAGAUCUUUGAAAGGGGAUAGCAACAUAACAGAAAAUAACCACCUUGUCCCGAUAGCUAUCGGGACAGGGAACGGGUGAAAAGGUGUGGUAAAAGCACACCGGUGGUGGUGGCAACAUCAUCAGCCGUAUGUCUCACGGGUUGCAAAGCCAUGUAUAUUCCGGUUGUCCGCUGUUGCGGUACAGCAGAACGGCCCGUUUUGUUCCUAACGCACAAAGGAACCGGAAGGGGUAGGCUGCAGGACCCUGGUAGUGAUACCUGGGCUAGAUAAAUGAUAAAGCUUUCCCGGGUGACCGGGAUUGACAGGACCCGGCUUACAGGCCUGCCAUUUUU
rnacentral:RNase_P_RNA from 1 species